UACAGAGGUCUCAAGCGUUAUUCGGAUUCAUUGGGCGUAAAGGGUGCGUAGGCGGCGCGGUAAGUCGGGUGUGAAAUCUUGGAGCUUAACUCCGAAACUGCAUUCGAUACUGCCGUGCUUGAGGACUGGAGAGGAGACUGGAAUUUACGGUGUAGCGGUGAAAUGCGUAGAUAUCGUAAGGAAGACCAGUGGCGAAGGCGGGUCUCUGGACAGUUCCUGACGCUGAAGCACGAAGGCCAGGGGAGCAAACGGG
rnacentral:rRNA from 1 species